rnacentral:rRNA from 1 species
UACGUAGGGUGCAAGCGUUGUCCGGAAUUAUUGGGCGUAAAGAGCUCGUAGGCGGUUUGUUGCGUCGGCUGUGAAAUCCCGAGGCUCAACCUCGGGUCUGCAGUCGAUACGAGCAAACUAGAGUGUUGCAGGGGAGACUGGAAUUCCUGGUGAUAGCGGUGAAAUGCGCAGAUAUCAGGAGGAACACCGGUGGCGAAGGCGGGUCUCUGGGCAACAACUGACGCUGGAGGAGCGAAAGCGUGGGGAGCGAACAGG